AAAGGAAUAGACGGGGACCCGCACAAGCAGCGGAGCAUGUGGUUUAAUUCGAAGCAACGCGAAGAACCUUACCAGGGCUUGACAUACCAUUGACCGUUCUAGAGAUAGGACCUUCCUUCGGGACGAUGGAUACAGGUGGUGCAUGGUUGUCGUCAGCUCGUGUCGUGAGAUGUUGGGUUAAGUCCCGCAACGAGCGCAACCCUUGCCAAAAGUUGCUAACAUUAAGUUGAGCACUCUAGAGGGACUGCCGAUGAUAAAUCGGAGGAAGGUGGGGAUGACGUCAAAUCAUCAUGCCCUUUAUGUCCUGGGCUACACACGUGCUACAAUGGUCGGUACAAAGAGCAGCGAAGUCGUGAGGCCAAGCGAAUCUCACAAAGCCGAUCCCAGUUCGGAUUGUUCUCUGCAACUCGAGAACAUGAAGCCGGAGUUGCUAGUAAUCGCGAAUCAGAAUGUCGCGGUGAAUGCGUUCCCGGGUCUUGUACACACCGCCCGU
rnacentral:rRNA from 1 species